rnacentral:rRNA from 1 species
AGGAUGAACGCUGGCGGUCUGCUUAACACAUGCAAGUCGAACGGGCGUAGCAAUACGUUAGUGGCGGACGGGUGAGUAACGCGUGAGAAUCUACCUUCAGGACGGAGACAACAGUUGGAAACGACUGCUAACCCCCGAUGUACUGAAAAGGCAAAUAUUUAUAGCCUGAAGAAGAGCUCGCGUCCGAUUAGCUAGUUGGAGAGGUAAAAGCUCACCAAGGCGACGAUCGGUAGCUGGUCUGAGAGGACGAUCAGCCACACUGGGACUGAGACACGGCCCAGAUUCCUACGGGAGGCAGCAGUGGGGAAUUUUCCGCAAUGGGCGAAAGCCUGACGGAGCAAGACCGCGUGGGGGAAGAAGGCUCUUGGGUUGUAAACCCCUUUUCUCUGGGAGAAAGUUGUGAAGCAGCCUGACGGUACCAGAGGAAUCAGCAUCGGCUAACUCCGUACCAGCAGCCGC